rnacentral:tRNA from 2 species
GCCGGCGUAGCUCAAUUGGAAGAGCACUCGUCUCCAAAACGAGUUGCAGCGAGAUCGAAACUCGCCGCCGGUA